rnacentral:misc_RNA from 1 species
UUGUUGCCUUUGAACAUGACUGUGAACAUGUAACAUAAAGCUACCGGGGAGGAGCUUCCUCCUCGGCCCCAACGGCCUUGGCCCUGUGGUCAGGUGUCGAAAUACGGCGCGGAUUGUCGCCAAGGAACACUGAUUUGCUUAGGCAGACCGCAUCAUGCGGUCAGCUGAGGCCAAAAAAAAAC